rnacentral:rRNA from 1 species
UACGGAGGGGGCUAGCGUUGUUCGGAAUUACUGGGCGUAAAGCGCGCGUAGGCGGACUGGAAAGUUGGGUGUGAAAUCCCGGGGCUUAACCUCGGAACUGCCUUCAAAACUCCCAGUCUUGAGUUCGAGAGAGGUAAGUAGAAUUCCGAGUGUAGAGGUGAAAUUCGUAGAUAUUCGGAGGAAUACCAGUGGCGAAGGCGGCUUACUGGCUCGAUACUGACGCUGAGGUGCGAAAGCGUGGGGAGCAAACAGG